AGCUCUGCGCAGUGGCGAUAUCGUAACCAAUGAGGUUCAACCGAGCUGCGAUUAUUGCUAGUUGGAAAUUAUUGACAUCAGCUGUUACUGUUCAAUAUUCAUAACAGCCAGAGCCAUCUUUUGAAAAUGGACAGAACUA